rnacentral:misc_RNA from 1 species
GAUGAAGAACGCAGCGAAAUGCGAUAAGUAAUGUGAAUUGCAGAAUUCAGUGAAUCAUCGAAUCUUUGAACGCACAUUGCGCCCCCUGGUAUUCCGGGGGGCAUGCCUGUUCGAGCGUCAUUUGUACCCUCAAGCUUUGCUUGGUGUUGGGCGUCUUGUCUCUAGCUUUGCUGGAGACUCGCCUUAAAGUAAUUGGCAGCCGGCCUACUGGUUUCGGAGCGCAGCACAAGUCGCACUCUCUAUCAGCAAAGGUCUAGCAUCCAUUAAGCCUUUUUUUCAACUUUUGACCUCGGAUCAGGUAGGGAUACCCGCUGAACUUAAGCAUAUCAAUAAGCGGAGGA